rnacentral:lncRNA from 1 species
AAAAGACUACAUUUACAGAGAGGACACACAAAAAUCUUCAAAAUAUCCUCCAUUAUUCACAUGCCAUAAAAACACAACACACACUCUUCAUACAACUCUCUCACCCAACACAACACUCUCAUAUCUUUAUCUUUAUUAUAUUUCUUAAGCUUCUUGUUAACACUGUCAGAAGUUUUAGGUUGGUAUCACUAGAUUAAAAGGUAACCUCCAAUGUGAUUGUUUCUUUUUAACAUGUGGAAUUGUUAUUUCUACCUUUUUGUACUUAGUAUUUAUUACUGCUAAUAAUGUUAUUAUCUAACUCUUCAAUCAUUUUUCUAAUCAAUAUGUAAUUUAUAGAAACCUUUGCCGAAAUUAUAUACUGAGAAAAGAUCUAUACAUGAUUUAUCCUUGUGUAGUGGCAUUACUUAUGGUAUACUAAAAUAGAUAAAUAGUCAAGAAAAGUGGUAUGGUGUUGUUAAAUUUUUAUCCUCCGUUUUGGAAGAAUUUAGAAAUGAUUUAAUUUAUAACUAGAUAGAAUGAGUACUCGUGGAUCUACUGGAAUGUGUGGUUGAAAAUAAUGUUUAACCAAUUUAUAAUAAAUUUUGCCAAUAAGAGACUUAAUUACUCACGUCAGAUUAAUUUCUUUUUACAUGCAAUUACUUAUUUAGAAAUUUCAUGGUUGGUCCUAGUCUAUGUUCCAUGUAUCCCAUUACUCAAACCACAUUCUUGUUUGUAGAGACUAGACAGAGCUCUAAAAUUAUUUAUUUAUUUAUUUAUUUUUCAUUUUUCAAAUGAACNUUACGUUGCAAAAAUCAUCAUUUUCAUCCA